rnacentral:rRNA from 1 species
AUCUUGCGCAAUGGGCGGAAGCCUGACGCAGCCACGCCGCGUGCGGGAAGAAGGCCUUCGGGUCGUAAACCGCUUUCAGGAGGGAAGAAGCGAGAGUGACGGUACCUCCAGAAGAAGCCCCGGCCAACUACGUGCCAGCAGCCGCGGUAAUACGUAGGGGGCAAGCGUUGUCCGGAAUCAUUGGGCGUAAAGGGCACGUAGGCGGCCACGUAAGUCGGAUGUGAAAUCCCGGGGCUCAACCCCGGAACUGCAUCCGAUACUGCGUGGCUUGAGGAAGGUAGAGGAGAGUGGAAUUCCCGGUGUAGCGGUGGAAUGCGCAGAUAUCGGGAGGAACACCAGCGGCGAAGGCGGCUCUCUGGACCUUUCCUGACGCUGAGGUGCGAAAGCGUGGGUAGCGAACAGGAUUAGAUACCCUGGUAGUCCACGCCGUAAACGAUGGGUGCUAGGUGUGGGGAUCAGUUCACGAUCUCCGUGCCGAAGCUAACGCGUUAAGCACCCCGCCUGGGGACUACGGCCGCAAGGCUAAAACUCAAAUGAAUUGACGGGG